rnacentral:rRNA from 1 species
UACGGGGGGAGCAAGCGUUGUUCGGAUUUACUGGGCGUAAAGGGCGCGUAGGCGGCCAGCACAAGUCAGUUGUGAAAUCUCCGAGCUUAACUCGGAAAGGUCAACUGAUACUGUGCGGCUAGAGUGCGGAAGGGGCAACUGGAAUUCUCGGUGUAGCGGUGAAAUGCGUAGAUAUCGAGAGGAACACCUGCGGCGAAGGCGGGUUGCUGGGCUGACACGUGACGUGAGGCGCGAAAGCUAGGGGAGCGAACGGG